UACGUAGGGUGCAAGCGUUGUCCGGAAUUAUUGGGCGUAAAGGGCUCGUAGGCGGUCCGUCACGUCGGGAGUGAAAACUUGGGGCUUAACCCCAGUCCUGCUUCCGAUACGGGUGGACUAGAGGUAGGUAGGGGGAGAACGGAAUUCCUGGUGUAGCGGUGAAAUGCGCAGAUAUCAGGAGGAACACCGGUGGCGAAGGCGGUUCUCUGGGCAUUACCUGACGCUGAGGAGCGAAAGUGUGGGGAGCGAACAGG
rnacentral:rRNA from 1 species